GGAGCUCUCCCAUAUGGUCGACCUGCAGGCGGCCGCGAAUUCACUAGUGAUUGUUGAUCCUGGCUCAGAUUGAACGCUGGCGGCAGGCUUAACACAUGCAAGUCGAACGGUAACAGAGAAUAGCUUGCUAUUUUGCUGACGAGUGGCGGACGGGUGAGUAAUGCUUGGGAAUUUGCCGAAAGGUGGGGGACAACAGUUGGAAACGACUGCUAAUACCGCAUAAUGUCUACGGACCAAAGGUGGCCUCUAUUUAUAUGCUAUCGCCUUUCGAUGAGCCCAAGUGGGAUUAGCUAGUUGGUAAGGUAAUGGCUUACCAAGGCGACGAUCCCUAGCUGGUCUUAGAGGAUGACCAGCCACACUGGAACUGAGACACGGUCCAGACUCCUACGGGAGGCAGCAGUGGGGAAUAUUGCACAAUGGGGGAAACCCUGAUGCAGCCAUGCCGCGUGUGUGAAGAAGGCUUUCGGGUUGUAAAGCACUUUCAGCGAGGAGGAAAGGGUGAUGGCUAAUAUCCAUCAUCUGUGACGUUACUCGCAGAAGAAGCACCGGCUAACUCCGUGCCAGCAGCCGCGGUAAUACGGAGGGUGCAAGCGUUAAUCGGAAUUACUGGGCGUAAAGCGCGCGUAGGUGGUUAAUUAAGUCAGAUGUGAAAGCCCAGGGCUCAACCUUGGAACUGCAUUUGAAACUGGUUGACUAGAGUUUUGUAGAGGGUGGUAGAAUUUCAGGUGUAGCGGUGAAAUGCGUAGAGAUCUGAAGGAAUACCAGUGGCGAAGGCGGCCACCUGGACAAAGACUGACACUGAGGCGCGAAGGCGUGGGGAGCAAACGGGAUUAGAUACCCCGGUAGUCCACGCAGUAAACGAUGUCUAUUAGAAGUUUGUGGCUAUAUGCCGUGGGUUUCAAAGCUAACGCAUUAAAUAGACCGCCUGGGAGUACGGCCGGCAAGGUUAAAACUCAAAUGAAUUGA
rnacentral:rRNA from 1 species